rnacentral:rRNA from 1 species
CCUACGGGUGGCAGCAGUGAGGAAUAUUGGUCAAUGGACGAGAGUCUGAACCAGCCAAGUAGCGUGAAGGAUGACUGCCCUAUGGGUUGUAAACUUCUUUUAUAUGGGAAUAAAACGUUCCACGUGUGGGAUUUUGUAUGUACCAUAUGAAUAAGGAUCGGCUAACUCCGUGCCAGCAGCCGCGGUAAUACGGAGGAUCCGAGCGUUAUCCGGAUUGAUGGGGUUUAAAGGGAGAGUAGGUGGAUUGUUAAGUCAGUUGUGAAAGUUUGCGGCUCAACCGUAAAAGUGCAGUUGAAACUGGCAGGAGUGAUGACUGUAGAGGUGGGCGGAAUUCGUGGUGUAGCGGUGAAAUGCUCAGAUAUCACGAAGAACUCCGAUUGCGAAGGCAGUUCACUGGACUGCAACUGACACUGAGGCUCGAAAGUGUGGGUAUCAAACAGGAUUAGAUACCCGAGUAGUC